AUUGAACGCUGGCGGCAGGCCUAACACAUGCAAGUCGAGCGGAUGAGCCGAGCUUGCUCCUUGAUUUAGCGGCGGAAGGGUGAGUAAUGCCUAGGAAUCUGCCUGGUAGUGGUGGAUCACGUUCCGAAAGGAACGCUAAUACCGCAUACGACCUACGGGAGAAAGCAGGGGACCUUCGGGCCUUGCGCUAUCAGAUGAGCCUAGGCCGGAUUAGCUAGUUGGUGAGGUAAUGGCUCACCAAGGCGACGAUCCGUCACUGGCCUGAGAGGAUGAUCAGUCACAUGGGAACGUGAACACGGUCCAGACUCCUACGGGAGGCAGCAGUGGGGAAUAUUAGACAAUGGGCGAAAGCAUGAUCCAGCCAUGCCACGUGUGUGGAGAAGGUCUUCGGUUUGUAAAGCACGUUAAGUUGGGAGAAAGGGCAGUAAGCUAAUACGUUGCUGUUUUGACGGUACCGACAGAAGAAGCACCGGCUAACUUCGUG
rnacentral:rRNA from 1 species